GGCGCGCCUCAAGCCCGGAUUUGAAAUCUGGUACUUUCAGUGCCCGAGUUGUAAUUUGUAGAAUUUGUCUUUGAUUAGGUCCUUGUCUAUGUUCCUUGGAACAGGACGUCAUAGAGGGUGAGAAUCCCGUUUGGCGAGGAUACCUUUUCUCUGUAAGACUUUUUCGAAGAGUCGAGUUGUUUGGGAAUGCAGCUCAAAGUGGGUGGUAAAUUCCAUCUAAAGCUAAAUAUUGGCGAGAGACCGAUAGCGAACAAGUACAGUGAUGGAAAGAUGAAAAGAACUUUGAAAAGAGAGUGAAAAAGUACGUGAAAUUGUUGAAAGGGAAGGGCAUUUGAUCAGACAUGGUGUUUUUUGCAUGCACUCGCCUCUCGUGGGCUUGGGCCUCUCAAAAAUUUCACUGGGCCAACAUCAAUUCUGGCAGCAGGAUAAAUCAUUAAGAAUGUAGCUACUUCGGUAGUGUUAUAGCUUUUUGGAAUACUGUUAGCCGGGAUUGAGGACUGCGCUUCGGCAAGGAUGUUGGCAUAAUGGUUAAAUG
rnacentral:rRNA from 1 species